UUUACCUCCUUUUAUUUCUUAGCUAGGCUUCUGACACUAGUUGAUUUAUAAUCAUUUGGUUCCUACCCGGUAUGUGUCAAAUUUAUUUAUUGGCAAUUGUUUCUUUGAAUAUAAGUACGCGAUCUUGAUCUUGAUCUUGAUGUGCUUUUUAACGGAAGAUCCCAUUACCUUCUUAUUUCCAAAUUUCGGGAAAUCUCACUGUGACCGUACCAAAUCUCAUUGGAGCAUUAUGUCGGGCACAGAAGAUGUAAAAGAUCAAGAAAUGGUGGAUGGGAGUGCCCCUGAGAAGUCUCAGAAGUCUAUGCCAUCGUCUCAAGAGGAGGAGGCAGUUGUUAAAAAAAAGUAUGGAGGGAUCAUUCCCAAGAAACCCCCACUCAUCUCUAAGGACCAUGAGCGCGCUUAUUUUGAUUCAGCUGAUUGGGCACUUGGAAAGCAGCAAGGUGGUUCGAAGCCAAAAGGACCCCUUGAAGCCCUUCGGCCAAAAUUGCAGUUUUUAGAAAGAGAAUUAUGGACAAGCUCUGGGUUUCUUUGGAAUCAAGUAUUUUAAAGCGCGCAAGUCAUAUUGAGCAUACGCUCAAAGUCGUUGGGAACCAAUAAUCUGAGCAGUCCAGACCCUUGCAAAAACCCACACAACAGCAAACACGAUAUAGAAAGUCUCCUUGUGCUCCUUCUGUUGGUGAAGAUGCAGGGAGUGCAUCUGAGGAAGCAAGUGGUAAUGAAUGAAAUCUAUUGUUGAUGGUCUCUUAUUGUGAGUGAGGACCAUUGAUAAUUAUUCUGAUAACUGCAUAAGUUAAUGAGUAACUUUCGGCUGUUCCCAGUAAUAAAGUUGGUAAGAAUGAUACUAUUAGCUAAAAAGAAACAAAUUACCAUCUUUGUUGUAGUUAAGAUAUAUUGUGAACCAUAAAACAUUGUUCUAAAGUAUGUUUUAGGGAUGUAGGACAUAAUUGCUUGUUUUCUGAGUGAAAAGCUUGAUAUUUAGGCUUUGCUUUUGGUCGGCCAGUGAGAGAUGCCAUUAUGUUUAAGCUUAAGAGUUAUUAUAUUUUGUAUCGGUCUCUUGAAUA